rnacentral:rRNA from 1 species
AUUGAACGCUGGCGGCAUGCUUUACACAUGCAAGUCGAACGGCAGCGCGGGGCAACCUGGCGGCGAGUGGCGAACGGGUGAGUAAUAUAUCGGAACGUACCCAAGAGUGGGGGAUAACGUAGCGAAAGUUACGCUAAUACCGCAUACGAUCUAAGGAUGAAAGUGGGGGAUCGCAAGACCUCAUGCUCCUGGAGCGGCCGAUAUCUGAUUAGCUAGUUGGUAGGGUAAAGGCCUACCAAGGCUACGAUCAGUAGCUGGUCUGAGAGGACGACCAGCCACACUGGAACUGAGACACGGUCCAGACUCCUACGGGAGGCAGCAGUGGGGAAUUUUGGACAAUGGGCGCAAGCCUGAUCCAGCAAUGCCGCGUGAGUGAAGAAGGCCUUCGGGUUGUAAAGCUCUUUUGUCAGGGAAGAAACGGCUCCAGCUAAUAUCUGGGGCUAAUGACGGUACCUGAAGAAUAAGCACCGGCUAACUACGUGCCAGCAGCCGCGGUAAUACGUAGGGUGCAAGCGUUAAUCGGAAUUACUGGGCGUAAAGCGUGCGCAGGCGGUUUUGUAAGUCUGUCGUGAAAGCCCCGGGCUCAACCUGGGAAUUGCGAUGGAGACUGCAAGGCUUGAAUCUGGCAGAGGGGGGUAGAAUUCCACGUGUAGCAGUGAAAUGCGUAGAGAUGUGGAGGAACACCGAUGGCGAAGGCAGCCCCCUGGGUCAAGAUUGACGCUCAUGCACGAAAGCGUGGGGAGCAAACAGGAUUAGAUACCCUGGUAGUCCACGCCCUAAACGAUGCCUACUAGUUAUCGGGUUUUAAUUAACUUGGUAACGCAGCUAACGCGUGAAGUAGACCGCCUGGGGAGUACGGUCGCAAGAUUAAAACUCAAAGGAAUUGACGGGGACCCGCACAAGCGGUGGAUGAUGUGGAUUAAUUCGAUGCAACGCGAAAAACCUUACCUACCCUUGACAUGUACGGAAGCCACGAGAGAUCGAGGUGUGCUCGAAAGAGAACCGUAACACAGGUGCUGCAUGGCUGUCGUCAGCUCGUGUCGUGAGAUGUUGGGUUAAGUCCCGCAACGAGCGCAACCCUUGUCAUUAGUUGCUACAUUUAGUUGAGCACUCUAAUGAGACUGCCGGUGACAAACCGGAGGAAGGUGGGGAUGACGUCAAGUCCUCAUGGCCCUUAUGGGUAGGGCUUCACACGUCAUACAAUGGUACAUACAGAGGGCCGCCAACCCGCGAGGGGGAGCUAAUCCCAGAAAGUGUAUCGUAGUCCGGAUCGCAGUCUGCAACUCGACUGCGUGAAGUUGGAAUCGCUAGUAAUCGCGGAUCAGCAUGUCGCGGUGAAUACGUUCCCGGGUCU